GUCGAACGGCAGCGGGUCCUUCGGGAUGCCGGCGAGUGGCGAACGGGUGAGUAAUGUAUCGGAACGUGCCCAGUAGCGGGGGAUAACUACGCGAAAGCGUGGCUAAUACCGCAUACGCCCUUAGGGGGAAAGGCGGGGAUCCUUCGGGACCUGUCACUAUUGGAGCGGCCGAUAUCGGAUUAGCUGGUUGGUGGGGUAAUGGCCUACCAAGGCGACGAUCCGUAGCUGGUUUGAGAGGACGACCAGCCACACUGGGACUGAGACACGGCCCAGACUCCUACGGGAGGCAGCAGUGGGGAAUUUUGGACAAUGGGGGCAACCCUGAUCCAGCCAUCCCGCGUGUGCGAUGAAGGCCUUCGGGUUGUAAAGCACUUUUGGCAGGGAAGAAAUUGCCUGGGUUAAUAGCCUGGGCCGAUGACGGUACCUGCAGAAUAAGCACCGGCUAACUACGUGCCAGCAGCCGCGGUAAUACGUAGGGUGCGAGCGUUAAUCGGAAUUACUGGGCGUAAAGCGUGCGCAGGCGGUUCGGAAAGAGAGAUGUGAAAUCCCAGGGCUCAACCUUGGAACUGCAUUUUUAACUACCGGGCUAGAGUGUGUCAGAGGGGGGUGGAAUUCCGCGUGUAGCAGUGAAAUGCGUAGAGAUGCGGAGGAACACCGAUGGCGAAGGCAGCCCCCUGGGAUAACACUGACGCUCAUGCACGAAAGCGUGGGUAGCAAACAGGAUUAGAUACCCUGGUAGUCCACGCCCUAAACGAUGUCAACUAGCUGUUGGGG
rnacentral:rRNA from 1 species